CGUGCAGUGACAGGCCUCACUGCUUCCCUAGGCUGCUCGCCCCUUCUCUGUUUCCCCUGCUCAGCAGCAGAGUCUAACACAGAGAUCUGGCUGGAGGAAACGGGAAACCCCAGCAUGGGUGUUGCAACAGCAGAUUACGUAAUGUCCUGGAUCCCUACAUUCCCUCCCCCCAGGGGAAAGAAGACAUUCCUGGGUUGCCUGCACUGCCUUGUCACACAGCAAGAGUGUGUUCUCCAUGGUACCCGUGGCCGCAUCACAGGCAGAAGACCCCAUUUCCUCCUCAGUCCCUCUGCACUAAUACCAAUCAAACGCUGUCAUUUAAGAGCUGGCUUUGCUGACCUCCGAGCAUUCCCAUCUUUACCCAGUCAUGCAAACCUCUUCCUUAAAGGCGCCCUUCUUGAUCACAAGACAAAAAGAGAAAACUGCCUUUUCCUUCCUUUUCAGCUAUGAGUAAUGAUCCGUGCUCUCUUGCGGUUAAUACACAGAGUCAGGCUUUCUGCUGAAACGGCCUGGAGUUUAAUGAGAA